GUUUCGCUCCCUCCGGAUCAACCCUGAUAAGUUCCUGUUCCUAAGAAACGUGCAGCCAGAGUGAAGGUUGUGAGGUCUGCUGCUUCUUAUUGUACAGUUGUCUUCCGGCUGCCUAUGAAGUUAGUGUAGAUCACCCUCACAACCAAACACGCGACUAGAGCAAACAGAAGCACUGGGAGCCAGCCUUGCUAGCUUAUUCCAACACGUCCCACACCUGGAACGACGUAUGCCUUAUGACAAAGUUUCGCUGAAGGAUGAAACUGAGCGAAACGUUGCAAUAAUAAAGGCUUACCCUAUUUCAUAAGCUACUUUUGAGCUGGUUCUACCCUCGACCCAAAUACCUUUAAUUGCAAGCCGAGCGAUAUGCCUUCACUUCAGAGGUGUCACCCAAGGUACGUGUGCACACAUCACUUGAAAAAUGCUUUGACUUUUCCAAGUGGUUGGAAUAAGCGAGUGGAGACUGUGGUGUUGAGGGGAAGUGAUAGUGGAGGAAGACUGGUGUAGAGGGUUAGGUGAUAGUAGGUAAAGACUAUAUAAUGUUGAAGAAGAGAGACAAGAAUGAGGGGAAGACCGUGUACGGUGUUGAGGAAAAAGUGAGUGAGGGGAAACUGUGUAACGUUGUGAAAGAGAAGAGCCAGGAUGAGCCCAGAUUUGCACAUAAUCUCAGUUAUU